GGUUUAACCUGCCCGAUGUUUUAAUGAAUGGCCGCGGUAUCCUGACCGUGCUAAGGUAGCGUAAUCAGUUGACUUUUAAAUGAAGUCAGGAAUGAAUGGGAAAACCGGGUUUAGCUGUCUUAGGAUUACUAUAUCGAAUUUACUUUUUAAGUGAAAAAGCUUAAUUAUAGAAAAGGGACGAGAAGACCCUUAGAAUUUUUUUUAAGAUAAAUUACUAUUUUUUAUUAUUUUAUUGGGGCGAUAAAGAAAUAUUAAAAACUUUCUGUUAUAAACAAGCCGAUUUUUUUAAGAAAGAAUAAAUUACCUGAGGGAUAACAGCAUAAUCUUAUAACUAGGUUUGUGACCUCGAUGUUGGACUAGGAAACUAAUAGGCUAGCCGUUUAU
rnacentral:rRNA from 1 species